rnacentral:rRNA from 1 species
CUACAGGCCACAGGAUCCUAGACACACCCUAUCUUAUCUGAUCUCAGAAGCUAAGCAGGGUGGUCCUGGUUAGUACUUGGAUGGGAGAAGUCCUUUAUU